AGUCUCCUAUUUUUAGGGUCUGAUGUCAUUUUUUGACAUGUCUCCUAUUUUUAGGGAC
rnacentral:misc_RNA from 1 species